rnacentral:tRNA from 1 species
CGGGGUGUAGCGCAGCCUGGCAGCGCAACUGCUUUGGGAGCAGUGGGUCGUUGGUUCGAAUCCAAUCACCCCGA